rnacentral:rRNA from 11 species
CGAUGGGAAACUGGUUAAUAUUCCAGUACUUUUAAUAACUGCGAUGGGGUGACGAAGAAGGUUAGGUGGGCCUGGCGAUGGUUGUCCAGGUUCAAGCAAGUAGGCUGGUUUCUUAGGUAAAUCCGGGAAAUCAAGGCCGAGAUGUGAUGUCGAGCUCUCUUUUGAGCGAAGCCAUUGAUACCACGCUUCCAGGAAAAGCCUCUAAGCUAUA